rnacentral:misc_RNA from 1 species
UUUCCGUAGGUGAACCUGCGGAAGGAUCAUACAUAAUAAAGUGUUUUAUGGCACUUUUUAAAAAUCCAUAUCCACCUUGUGUGCAAUGUUAGAUCUCGUCAAUCUUGGCGAGAUUUUUAUACAUCAACUCAUUUUUAACUAAUUUGUCUGAAAAAUAUUAUGAAUACUUUAUUCAAAAUACAACUUUCAACAACGGAUCUCUUGGCUCUC